CUCGAUCUGCAUUACCGGGAUUUUCUGGAGAGAAAACAGGGGGUUUCUAGGGUUUAUAGCUGAGAAAGAAUAGAAGCCUCUAAAAUCGCGAUUUUUUCCUGAAAUUUCCAUACAUUUGUUCCACUUUCCUGUUUGUGGAGGCGGAUCUGACCAUCGGAGAUCUUCAAGGCACUGUGUGUUUGUCACUUCAAAGUUUUCUGGAGAGGAAUCGAGAGGUUUUCGGGUUGCUGGCUUCAAUGAUAUUGAAUCCUCGGAAUUUGAGUUUACCCAUCUCCUUUUUGGAGACAUCUACCUUUUUUUUUUUGCUUGGAUCAGAGCUCAAUCAGCGUGAAAGCUCGGAUCUCUGGAGUUUUCAGACCUUUGGCUUGCUCAUUUUAACUGAAUUUUUGAAACAGCCAUUUCGAAUGCAUGGUAUGAGGUAUUAUCAGUUUUACACUUGAUGAUUGUGCUGUCAUUUUCACAGGCCGAUCUGUUGCUUCUACCUAGAACGACUACAGAUGGUUGUCAGCCAAAGGUAUCAGAAGUAAAAGGCAGGCGAGCUUCUGUUGACGUUUUCUUGAAGGCAGCAGGAUAUUUGGAUUGUGCCAUCAGACGUGUUCUCCUUCAGAUACCCCUUGACUUGAGGAGAGAUCUUCCAGUAGACAUGUCGGAAGGAGUGCCGCGAGCUCUUUCACUGCAAGCAUUAGGCCUGGUACUUGCCCAUUCUGUAACAUCGUUCAUUGCGUCGCUUUACAAUUUUAUAUAGCCUUCCUCUUACAUCACAAUUUAAUCUUCUCACUAGAGUUUAUGGAUAUUUAGUGAUGUGAUUGCCAAUAUUUGAAUCAAGCUCUUUUGGACUUUGUUUCGUUGACCGUUGUAGGCUUCCCUUGUUUCCAUAUAUUAUUGUCAAUCCAGCAAUCUCCUUAGGUAUGACACCAUGGAAGUGGUACAUUAAAACAAAACUGUUGUCAAGCCAAGCUGGUCCAUUCAUCUGGCAGGGCAGCAUGUGUUUGAGGAAAAUGGUAAGAAAUUAGAUGAAACAAUGGUUAUAUUCAAUGCACUCUUGUCAAAUACCUGAUGAUGGACCUUGAUUUUUUAGCUAGGCAUCGUUCACAGUGAUUAACUAUUGAUGGCCCAGCUAUACCCCACUAUAUAUGAACCCCACCUACUUAGUAGCCUUUGAUAUUUGGUUCUAUGUUCUUGAUUUUGUCAGUGAUUUUGCUGAUCAUGGCAGGUGGUCAGGUGUCUACUGAUAGAGCCAUUCCCAAAAUCGGCCCUGAAUGAACAGGCAGGCAAGAUGUUACUUGAGAAUUACAAGUAUGCAAGGCAUGCCAGGUGAGGCCCCGCCAAGAUCGAGGAGCAAGAUGGAUUCACUCAUUUUUAUACCAGACCUUGUCAAAACCACAAAGGCUGAAGAGUCUGUUGCUGCUGUUGGGAGAGAACCAUUGCCAGUAUCUCAGUCAGAAGAACAGAAGUUUAUUGAACAAGAAACAGGCAAGGAAACUGAGAUUGAGCCUAACAAUGCAAGCGUUCAGAGGCCAGUUGACAUUUAUAAGGAACCUAUUAUGUUGUAGUUAUUGAGAACCGUGCAGAUUUUCAUGGACGUGUGGUGGUUGAUGUUGGUGCUGGUAGUGGUAUUCUUUCAUUAUUUGCUGCGCACACCUAUUCAAUCAACAAAGUAUGUUUAUGGUGAAGUUUGUAGAUUGAUUCCAACAAUCUGUUCAUUUAUUCAGGUUGGUGCUAAACAUGUUUAUGCCGUGGAGGCGUCUGAAAUGGAAGAAUAUGCAUGCAGGCUUAUUGCUGGGAAUCCAUCAUUGGGAGAACGAAUUACGGUGAUCCAAGGUAAAGUUGAGGAUGUUGAAUUGCCUGAGAAAGCAGACAUUCUGAUUUCUGGGGCUAUAUGAUUCAGAAGGGUAUUGCAGGGAGCACAAAUCCAUUUUCAAAAUAUCAGAUCUGAGGCAACAUGAUUGUGUUGAGAUUUCCAUCUUAUUUUCAUG